ACAGACAAUGUUGGCUGCUGAGCCUGAACAGGCUCUGGACGUGGAAGUGCCACCUCAGGGGGCUUUGGAGGGGCUCUAGUCUGCUGCAGGGCUGUGGC
rnacentral:pre_miRNA from 1 species